rnacentral:tRNA from 2 species
GACCCGUUAGCUCAGUUGGUAGAGCAUCUCACUUUUAAUGAGGGGGCCAAUGGUUCGAAUCCAUUACGGGUCACCA